GAUAAUACAAUGUGGUGUCAUUAUGUCAACAUACAUGUUGUCGAGUCUAAUGAAAAAUGUUUUAGCACAAGAAAGGUGAUGGUAGGUUAGCUACACCUAAAUAAAAGCAAAAUACAACAUUUUGUGAAAUUAUUUUGGGCAUGACUUGGUAUGUGACAUGAAUAAUACAAUAACGAGAUAACUAAAUAAUUGUUAGUGGAAAUAGCUAAAGUGCUUUUUUUUUAAAAGACUUUUUCUAGAAUUAACCGCUCAGGCCCUCUUCCCCAAACUUCCCCGAAAUGUUUGAAUUUUGCAUUUGACAUUCAACAUCUACUUUCUCCUUCCCAAAAUAGCUAUGUUCUCUUCCAAUCCGCCGAACCUACGCCGGCCUCCACCGGGUCUCAGGCCCCAAUGCUCGUCAAAAUCUCUUUCUCCAAGGUUGAGAAAGUAAAAUAACCUGAAACAAGAAAGUUUCUUAUGAGCUGACCUUAGCUAAGACUUAGAAAGAUAGCUAUAUUCAGCUCUAUUCUUGCGUGCAACCUCAAGGAAUCCUCUGCACCUGUAAAAACCAAAAGCCCUGGGCUCAAGACGAAAAGAUCUCUCAAUCAAUCUUACCUCAAGUUCACGAGUAUACCGAAGACUUCUCCCUCGAGGGAUGCUUUUGAGAUUCUAUAAGUCAUAUUUCUGCCUCUAGCCUUGUGCUAAGUCGUAUCUCAUCAGCUACAUUCUCAAACCAGAAUCUCUUUCUCAACACUCAGAUCUAUUAACCAUGGAGAACACAAAGAAUCUCGCUAACAGGAAUCACGAAGAAGAUGAAGAAGAGAUCAUCGACUUACCUCACGUGGACAACUCUCAACUCAUUGCCCGUUUCAACCUAAGUCUGGUUGGACGCAUGUUCAACCAAGAUAUCCGUAGCACAGAAGCCCUCAUCGCCUUCAUGCCUCGACAGAACAUCUGGGACGUCAAAGGCAGGGUGCACGGGAUAGACCUUGGAAACUCUCGAUUCCAGUUCGACUUCGACUCAGAAGCGGAUCUCCAGCGGGUGCUCAGCAAACGCCCCUGUCAUUUUAAUCGCUGGUCUUUCUCCUUGGAACGCUGGAUCCCUCAUGUUUGGGAGUCUUUUCCCAACAAUAUGACCUUCUGGGUGCGAAUCUCAGGGAUCCCUACUCACUUCUGGAUGGAAGAAAAUUUCCGAGCCAUUGGAAAUCGUCUUGGGGAUGUAAGAGCGGUUGAUGCACGAGCUGCAAGGAUCCAGAUUUCUUUGAAUGCAGAUGAGCCUCUGAGAUUCAAUGCAAGGGCAAGGCUUCAAUCUGGAGAAGUGGUUAGAGUAGAGAUGAAGUAUAAAAAACUCGAUCGAUGGUGUCUCACCUGCAGACACAUCUCUCACGACGAGAGAACUUGCCUUUUGCUCACUGAAGAUCAAAGACGUGAGAAGAUGAGGGAAAGAGAGGCUGAGAGGAACUUAGCUCGAGCAUCGAGAGAUGACCUGAUUCGCGACAGAGACGUCUUGCAAAUGAGAAGACAGGCAGGCCAGAUCUCGUUACCUCUCCGUGACAGAACCACCCUCCCUUUGCAGGAUGAAACCCGCAAGCUCUCGACAAAGGCCAAAGAUGAAAGCUCCAAACCUCCGAAGGAUAAGAAAAGAAAUCAAAUCCUCGAUGAAAGGCGCCCUUCUGACAGAAGACCCGAUAGCGUCUGGAACAGAAUCGAAUCAAGCGCUGGUUACCGAACUGAAGCAAGAAGGUAUGAAAGAAAACAUGAAACUGCAGAUGGAAGCCACCCGAAUGCCAGAGAUGACUCAAGAGAUGAGGAACCUGGAUACCGAAAGCGACGAUACGAAGAAUCCUUCGCAGCAAGCAAGAAACAGAUGGGGAAGAACAAACCAAAAGACCUACCUGGGAAGGAUCUUUCCUCUGCUAAACCUUCACUGGCGAGACUCUCAGCAAUGCCAACCAAGUCUUCUGACUCUCAGAGGACUAUCUCGGAUCCUCCAGCCAAAGCUAAACAGGGUGUCUCUUCCCCGGAGCACAUGCAUAGCAGACCAUUCCACCUCUCCCUUACCAGUAAGACAUCAAAUCUGGGGAAAGGGAAGAUGUAUGAAACCGGUGAAACUUCAGAAGCAGGCAGUUCAGCAAAAAAAGCUCUCACUUUUGAGCCUGUGAUCCCAAUUGAAUCAAACUCCAUUCUAGGCGAACCCAAGCUGAGCAAUGCGAUGAUUCUACCUCCGUUGGAACCUUGUCUCCAUGAAAAUUGGUAUGAACAGACUCUGGAGGAAGAUAGAGAAGACAUAAAUCUUACCACAUCAAAACCAAUCGACGAACAGCUCGAAUUCCCGAUGGAAGUGGUCAUGGAGUCAGGCGGAGACUUAAGGACCUUCCACAAUAACCAGGAGAACGAGUUGCUGGAGGAUGAGCUUAUGGAGGAUCCAGCUUUGCUUAAUAACAAUGAAACAAUUGAAGGCAUCGAUGAGGAAGACGAAUGGAUGAACGACGAUGAUCUCUUCGAUGAAGGGGAACUGGACGAACUUCUGAAAGAUGCUGACAGCCCUGCAAAGGAUCAAAAUGGAGAAGACCAGGAGAUGAUCAAUGAGCUCGCGAUCCCAGAGGCGAAUCCGCCGAAGUUCAAAGCUGCUUCCUGGUUUAGAUCCCCCGAAAACGCUGAUGUAGGGAAGAAACAGGCGGCGGAAACUGAUAAGAGCACCAGGGUGACCGGAAAAAAGAAACCGGCGCCGAGAUCGCCGGCGGCUCGCGGUUUGUCCCUGAAGAAGAGGAAUUUCCCUCUGGGUCGUGUCUCUCCAAAGACUAAGGGGAAAGGAAAAUUCCCAAAAACAGGUCUAGGCCCAUAUGCAGAUCAAGAAGAAAGCCCAAGGGAGAUAAGAGUUCUAAGGCCCAGAAGAAAAAACAGAACUCUGUAACCGGGGGGGAGGAAACCCAGAAACCGGUUAAACAUAACCCAUGAACGUGAUAGGCUGGAAUUGUCAGGGGGCGGGAGCCGACCUGACGAAGGAUCACCUAGAAGAAUUGCACCACUGUUUUUCUCCUCGUUUUUUAUUCUUAUCAGAAACUAAAAACAAUCGGCUUUUUAUUCAAGAUAUGCAAAUACAUUUUGGCUAUGACCAAGUCUGUACCAUUGAACCGAGAGGUCGUAGCGGCGGUCUAGCCCUUUUUUAUAUGGAUGAACCUUUAGUUGCUAUCUCCUAUUCGGAUGAACAUCUCAUUGAUGUAGAAACCAGUCUAGACGGACAUAAAAUUUUUUUAACGUUCGUUUACGGAGAUCCGGUCAUCAAAAACCGAGAAUACGUAUGGGAACGACUCACCCGAAUGAGUCUUUCCAGAAAAGAAGCCUGGUUUAUGAUUGGGGACUUCAAUGAAAUCUACGGAAACAAUGAGAAUCGGGGAGGAAGACGAAGACCGGAAUACUCGUUUAUUCCUUUCUGAACUAUGCUAGACAACUGUGGGAUGCUCAAAUUCUCGUUUAAAGGAAAUUCCUUCUCAUGGGUUGGAAGAAGACGUAACGGAAAGAUCAAGUGUCGUCUGGAUAGAGCGGUGGGGAAUGGAGAAUGGCAAUCUGCCUUCCCCCAUACCUCGGUGGAAUACCUUAAAUUAUGGGGUUCAGAUCACCGUCCUGUAUUGGCCCGCAUCCAAGUGGACAAUCGAAGAAAGAGGAAGUCUUUUAGAUUUGAUAAAGAUGGUUGGGAAAACCAGGAUUCAAAGAGGCGGUAAUCUCCGGCUGGGGCUCUUUGGAUGGAAUCCCACGUCGGGAUUUCCAUCGUAAAGUAGCAAACUGCCGGAUCAGUAUCUCUAGGUGGAGAAAGUCCCAAUUUUCUAAUUCCGAGAAGAUGAUAGAGGAACUCAAAAACAAAUUGGAUGCAGCCCAAGACGACGAAAACUCUACACUAGAAGAAGUUAAAGAGAUUAGAAGAAACCUUUGUAUUGCUCUUCGGGAGGAAGAAACAUUCUGGAAACAGAAGAGCCGUGAACAAUGGCAAAAAUCCGGGGAUAGAAACACAAAUUUUUUUCAUGCGCUCACAAAACAAAGGAGAAGCCAAAAUCGAAUCGUCGCUUUGAGGGAUAAAAAUGGGAAUUGGGUAGAAAAUUCACGAGGUAUUGAACGAGUAGCCUCCCAUUACUUCCAAGAUCUGUUCACCUCGUCACAACCCCCGGAACCAGAUAAUGCUCUCCGGUUUAUCACCAAGAAAGUAUCGGAGGCGUCUAACCAGCGCCUCAUUCAAGAACCCACAGAAGCCGAAAUUAAAGAAGCGCUUUUCGAUAUCAAUCCUGAUAAAGCCCCGGGACCCGAUGGAAUGACGAGCAAGUUUUACCAAAGAUUCUGGCAGGAGUUCCGCCACGACAUUGUAAAAUUAGUAAAAGAUUUCUUCAUAGCAGGAUCUUUUGAUCCCAGACUAAAUCAGACCAACAUCUGCCUGAUCCCCAAGAAAGAAAAACCUAGAGCUAUGACAGAAUUUUGUCCGAUAAGUCUAUGCAACGUGAGCUAUAAGAUUAUCUCAAAGCUCAUGUGUAAAAGACUUAAAAAAACACUACCUAACCUAAUUUCAGAGACCCAAUCGGCCUUUAUGGCUAGGAGGCUUAUCACUGAUAACAUUCUGUUAGCCCAAGAGAAUUUCCAUGCCCUUCGCAGUAACCCGGUUUGCCGAAAAAACUUUAUGGCCAUCAAGACCGACAUGAGCAAAGCAUACGACAGAGUGGAAUGGUGCUUCAUUAAAGCCUUAAUGAUUAAAUUGGGCUUCUCUGAGAGAUGGGUUAACCUUCUGAUGUUCUGUGUUUCAUCAGUAUCCUACCAAGUGUUGAUAAACGGAGAACCAAGAGGGCAUAUCACUCCGACACGAGGGUUAAGACAAGGAGAUCCUCUCUCUCCUUUCUUAUUUAUCCUUUGUACCGAGGCCCUGAUCUCUCUCCUAAAUGGAGCAGAAAGGGAAAACCGAAUCUCUGGACUAAAAAUAGCCAAGCAAGCCCUCCAGUCUCUUAUCUACUCUUCGCAGAUGAUAGUUUGUUCUUUUGCCGCGCAUAUAUCCAAUAAGGAACCGAGAUCUUCAAGAUCAUCAGCACAUAUGGCUCAGCCUCGGGACAACAACUAAACUUAGGCAAAUCAUAUAUUAUGUUUGGGAACCGAGUUGAUAUGACAUUGAAGCAAGGCAUAAAAGAUGCUAUUGGAAUAACAACAGAGGGAGGCAUGGGCAUGUAUCUGGGGCUCCCAGAACAAAUUUGUGGAUCAAAGAAGAAAGUCUUCUCUUACGUCCAUGAUCGACUUAGUACCAGAGUGAACUCCUGGUCUGCAAGACUUCUCUCCAAAGGUGGAAAAGAAAUUCAGAUUAAAUCGGUUGCCCAGACUGUCCCUACGUAUGUUAUGUAAUGCUUCCUUAUUCCCCAAUGUGUGACCGAUAAGUUACGGAGUGUCAUUGCUAAUUUCUGGUGGAGCUCAAAGCAGAAUAGCAAAGGGAUUCACUGGAUAGCUUGGGACAAGAUAUGCAUUCCCCAAGAUAUGGGAGGUCUAGGUUUCCGAGACCUUCAAGAUUUCAAUUUAGCCCUUCUAGCUAAACAGCUAUGGCGCCUUAUUCAAUACCCCUCGUCUCUACUGGCCAGGGUUUUACGAGGACGAUACUACAGAGAAUCGGAUCCGUUAGAGGAUCGUCGCGUCUACUCCCCAUCCUAUGGGUGGCGGAGCAUUUUAGCUGCAAAACCAUAUCUAAUGAUGGGACUGCGGAAAACAAUAGGGUCGGGUUUAAAUACAAGGGUCUGGAGCGAACCAUGGAUCCCGGAUACUAGAGCUUGACCGGUGAGAGCCACCCCGCAAAUCGGCUAUCAGGACCCGGGGUUACUUGUUUACUCCUUCAUCCGAUAAGAUACAAAGGAGUGGGAUGUUCCUCUUCUUAGGGUUUUCUUCCAACCAGAGGAUGUUUCCCUGAUUCUAGGAAUGAGACCUAGUCGCAACCGUUGCCCGGAUGGAUACGCAAGGAACCAUUCAAAAUCAGGACUCUAUUCGGUUAAGACGGGCUAUGACCUGAUUAGGAGGUCAAAAUUACAACGGGAACCUAAUAUGGUGGGGGAACCGAGCAUUACGGUAUUGCAAAGACAGGUGGAAAACCAGCUGCCCCGGCAAAAUGAAGCAUUUCAUGUGGCAAUCUUUGUCAGGAUAUGUGGCUACAUGUCAUAAUCUAACAUACCGACAUCUUGGAUCUGACACGAGCUGUCCCCGAUGUGGCGAUCCCGUAGAAUCUACAAAUCACCUCCUAUUUUUAUGUCCCCCGACACUUCAAGUCUGAGCGUUAUCGGACUUUCCGUCCCGUCCGGGCCUCUUCCCGAGUACUUCUAUUUACCAAAAUAUGAGCUUUCUCUUUUGGCAAACAAAAGAGUUAGGCAUGACGGAUCCUCAGAAGGAUUUAUACCCUUGGAUCCUAUGGUUCAUUUGGAAAGCAAGGAACGAAAAAAUCUUUAACGGGAAAUCAAUUUCCCCACAAGAUACCCUGAUCCACGCAAGGGUAGAAUCUGAGAGCUAGAGAAUGGCGAACCAACCAGAGGAAGCAAAGGAAGCAGAGGUCUCCUCUCGUCCCCAAAUACCUUCCCCCGCGAACCAACGGGUCCCAACAUGUUGGAUCGAUGCCUCGUGGAUUGAUCACGGACCUGUCAGUGGACUCGGGUGGAGCCUGGUGAACGCUGGGGAAGAGGAGCUGUUUGGUCAACAAGGAUGCCGCAGAAGCCUUUCCGUCCUUCAUGCGGAGAUGGAUUGUCUUUUGUGGGCUAUGGCAGCCCUGAGUCAACGACACAUAAGAGCGGUGCUUUUUCUGACCGACUGUUCUGAUCUAGUGAGUAUGACGGAUUCCCCAGCUGAUUGGCCGUCUUUUACGUCCGAGCUAGAAAAUCUACGUAUCCUUCGUGAGAACUUCUCAUAGUUUUCCAUCUCCCAUAUCCCGAUGAAUGAUAAUGUCCGGGCAGAUAGUCUUGCAAAAGGAGCCCGAGCAAAAGGACAAAUAUUCACCCACAUCGAUCAUAACGAGUCGGUUAAGGACGGUGCACAAAACCACCUCCAAGCCGGCCAACUGUGAUGUAAUAGUUUGGGUAGUCGACAAAAAAAAAAAAAGCUAAAGUGCUUUUUUGUUUUGUAGCAAAAGUGCUAAACUAUAAGUUUUUGUAUAUCAGUUAUAAAUUUUUGGAGAGCUAGUUUAGAGCAGCUCCAACAAUGAGCUCUACAAGAGCUCUUACGAGUUUUUGAGUUAAAAAAAAUGUUUUAAUGUCAAAAAUGUUCAGAACCGUCACUUAUUUGAGAGUUUUCAGAAUCCCAUCAGAACCCCAUCCGUGUCAGCUCGUGAUUGGUUGGCGUUUUUAUAUUUUUUUUGUUUUUUUAAUUAGAAGACUGUUUGAAUUAGAGUCUUUCUCUUUUUUUUUUAUAUCCAUUUUCUCCUUCUGAUUUGUCUCAACUUGGUUCUUCAGUGAUGUAUACUCAAACAGAGAAAACACAAACCUACUCUCUCUAACAGAGAAACAUAAAAGGUUCUUUAGAGCAUCCUCAAUGCAGAGACCCUUAUGGGAUUUUUUUAAUAUUAUUAUUGGAUUAAAAAUUUAGUUAAGAAACUAUUGAAUUUAUAAGGUCCAAUGCAGAGACCCAUAUGGGUUUUAAAAAAAAAAAAACAAUCUGUCACCGAGUUGACCACGUUAACGAGCAGACUCUUGAUCUUCAUAGCAGAAAUUGGUUUAGACAAAAGUGUGUUUAAACUUUAAAGCAAAGAACAUUGGGGAGUUGAAACAUUUGAUAAUAAUACCACAUUAAUAUCAUUCCAAACGAUUAUUCAAAGAACAUGACACCAUGAUAUAACUUAAUGAAAAAUACGUACAAAAAAAAAGAGAGAGACAGAGAUGUUACAUGUAGAGCUAUGUCAUGAGAAUGAUAUCGAUCAACAAGAAUUUGGUGUGAAUCUUCCGGAUUCAAAUAGCAGAAGUUUAUAGAUAUGUACCAGAAAAUAAGGCAGAGUGAUGAUGUUGGUGACGAGAAGCCAUUGAACACCAUAGCCAACAAAGCCCAUACCCGCCGCCGUGAAAAGAACGACGGAGAGAGGGAGAUAAUCUAGAGCGAUCCCAACGACCACCCGAACGCUUUUCCCAAUUCGGAAGCCACGGCAAGGUAAUUCAACCUGACCUGACAAAUCCCGAGUACUGAUUUGAGAUGGGAGGAGUAAGCUGAGAAAUUGAAAUUAGUCCUUGUUGAUGCCUGGAUCCAGAUUGCCGCCACGAGCACAGUCCAUUUCCGCCAGCGACAGAACAUGGUCACGAGAGGCGGCCUGACAGAGAAAACAAGGAGGGAAGACCGAAAAAAUCUGCAAUGGAAAAAAAGAGAAGGAAAAAGAUUUGUCCCCAUAUUCUUUAGCAAAUAAAAAAGAGACAUGUGGAUGAAGAGAUGAGGAAGAGACGUCUCCAAAUAAGAAACGUAUAUGAGAAUAAAGAGACCCAGUCCAGUUUUUUUAAUAUUAAGUUUCUUUAGAAACGCUCUUAUAUACCUCGUUAAUGAUGUUCUUAGCUAUAAUUAGAGCAGCUUCAAUGGUGAUAUCUUUUUGGGGUUCAUCUGGAAUUUUUUAUUCAUUUAAUUUGGAAAAAUGAAAAAUUUAGAACCCAACAAAUUUUUAUGUUCAAUGGUGAUUCCCAAAUUUUUUUCUGUUUACCGCAAAGCUCCAAAACGCACAGCUUCAUUUUUUUUCUUUUCAUCCAAUUAGAAGCUGCCACGUUGCGACAAACCCAGGUUCAUCAGCCUUUUAAGAGACAAGAUCAUCGAAUUUAUGGGCUUUUACAAUUUUUUUUGUGGUUUUUACCUAUGAAUUUGAGCCAUGGUAUCCUCUUGAACCUCCAUUGGAGGUGCUCUUACAGCCAACACGAUUCAUCCUCAAAUUGAUCCUUUUUACGGUGAGCAAUUGAGAAUACAGAGAUAUGUAAUAUUACCUAAACUCCUUUGACUUGUAUCUGCUGACUCAUAGAAAUGGAAAAAAAACAUUCAAGAAAAAAAGAGAAACCGAGAACACCCGAAACCGAGAACAUUUCGUGUCUAAUUCAAUCAUUCUAACCACCAAUCACAAACAACAACAAAGCCAAAAGCAAACAAACAAGGCUUGAUUCUCGGACAACCUAAUAGGUUCAACGAUAUCAAUGCAUCAACAGAGGCAAAAGUAAGGGUUUAGAUUAAUGGUACCUCUUUAAUAGACUCUUCCUAUGCUCGAUCGAUGACCAAUUGGCUUUUGUUUUUAAAGCCACAACACCGACGGAGAGGAGUCGCCGCCGCUUUGGACUACUGCAGAGAAGUUGCCGCCGCCUCGGAUGAUUGGAGCGGAGUCGCCGCCGCCUCGGACGCAUGGAAAGGACUCGACGCCGAAGCUUUUGUUGGAGACGAGUCGCAGUUCCUUGGAAUCGUCGAUAUCUUUACUUGCUUAGAAGUUAGAAGUGUUAGUUAGAGCAUCAUUAUCCCUGUAUACCAUAUAGGUUUCUUAGUUAAUUUUUAAUUAAUAAAUUUAGGUUAAGAACCUUUCUUAAAAAAUUAUGUUUUUUAUGCUUUAACGGUAGAAACCUUAAUGGGGUUUUGUAAUUAGACUUUUUGGAAAGUUUAUGGUUAUAAGUUGCAGAAAGGGUUUAUGGACUAUUCCAGCAACCUUUGAAAAAAUAUGCAUCCAAAAGGGAAACAAGAAGCAUACCGAUUUCAUCCUAGCGGCUGUGUUGGCAAUAUCAAGAGUUUCAGUAUCUCGCUUCACUCCAUACGUUUUCAUCACAGCAGCAUCAGAGAAUUCACUCAGCGGAAUCAGAGCUGAAAUGUUUACAACACAAAACCAAGAGUAACUGGAAAAACAACAAUUAACGUUGACCAAGAAGAAGCAAUAGGCUUUAUCAUGUUCCAGAGAAAUGAAGAAAGAGUUCAUAAAAACACAAUCAAAUAAUAGCUACUGAAACAGAUUCUUUCGAAUCUUAAUCAAGCAAUUGUAGGUUUAACAGAAAAAAAAACAGGGUAAGAUAAGAAGCAGACACUAAAUCCUUCAAAAAGAUCAAUCAAUCAUCGAUCUCUAAACAAAUUCAGGAGAGAAAUCGAACCAGUAUCAAAAAAUCAAAACAAUUUAGAAGCCUCCAUACUCUUUGGUGGAGUAGCGGAAGAUUAGUAACCUAGGGACUAAGAGAACUUGAGGAGAACUCUGGAUGAAAUAAGGUUUUGUUCUAUUCGAGACAGAGAUCGAACAAAACAGAGGUCGAGAGUGCUCCUCUCAGCGCUAAGCAAGGCAAAGCUCUUUGGGAAAUUUAGAUUUCCUCUUUUUGGUUUUUUUAUUGAUUUUCUUAGAAGCAAAACGUGAAUCAAAAACAAAGACUCGACUACCUUAUAUAGCUGCUAACAAAGCCCUAAGCCAUAGGAAUUCCUAAACAAAAAGGAAAAGUGCUUAAACCGUCAAAGAAAUAAAAAGGAAAAAACACAACUUGAAAGACACGUAAACAACAAAGCCAAAAGACGUAAGAAACUUCUAAACAGAUAAGGAUGCUCUGCAUCAGGUCCCCUGGGUAGAAGAGGAUUCGCCCUCGAAUCUGGAAUGUCAUUUUCACCAUGAUACCGAAAUAUGUGCUUAACAUUAAACACAUCAGCCGUGCGAAUGUCUGGUGGAAGACGGACACGAUAUGCAUUAGCGUUAAUGCGUUCAACAAUCUCAAGAGGGCCAAGCUUCCGAGAACGCAGCUUGUUGUACUCACGAGCUGGAAAUCGUUCCUUCGUUAAAAUGACCCACACCAUAUCACCUGGUUGAAACUCGACUUCCCGACGAUGUGUGUCUGCUUGUGCUUUGUAAGAUGCUGUCGCCGAUUGCAAAUUUUGUUGAGUUUCCUGAUGAAUGGUUUGAACAUUUUCCACAAAAUCAAUUGCCUGACCAUGAAGACGAACGCGAUCUGGAAGUGGCGCAAGAUCUAGUGGACAUCGCGGAAUUACGCCAUAAACAACCUUGAACGGACAAAACCCAGAACUCCGAUUACUAGCGUGAUUGUGAGCAAACUCGGCGAGACAAAGCUUGCUGUCCCAUGAUUUGAGAUUUUUGCCGACCAAACUGCGAAGCAUGUUUCCUAAAGCUCUGUUAGUAACCUCUGUUUGCCAUCGGUUUGAGGAUGAUAUGCGAUACUCAUAUCCAGACUAGUGUGGAGCAGCUUCCACACAGAACGCCAAAAGUGACUUAGAAAACGUGUAUCCCUGUCUGAUACAAUGGAAGAGGGCAAGCCAUGCAGGCGAUAUACCUCAGUAAAGAAUAAAGAGGCCACUUGAAUAGCGUCUGUCGUUUUCUUACAAGGUAUAAAAUGGGCCAUCUUCGAAAAGCGAUCCACAACAACAAAGAUGGAAUCAAAACCUCUUUGAGUACGAGGUAAGCCAAGAAUAAAGUCCAUGCUGAUAUCAGUCCAUGGCUGAGUCGGAACAGGGAGAGGCAAAUAUAAACCAGCAUUCGAAGCAGAACCUUUAGCUUGCUGGCAAGCCCGACAGCGUUCAACAAAUCGCACCACGUCACGCCUUAAGGAAGGCCAAAAAUAAGAGGUUGAUAUCAACUGCAAAGUACGAUCCCUCCCAACAUGUCCUUCAUCAUGCAACUCCUUGAUAAUACGCAGCCGUAAACUGCAAUCAGGAUACACAACUGAUUUUCCUUGAACAAGAAGCAAUCUUGGAGAGAAAAAUCGGACGUCGUACCACUGUUCACGUCACCAAGAACGCUCGCAAAGUAAGGAUCCGAACAAUAUAGGUCAGCAAAGGAGGAAAACCCAGGCACAGACGUGUGCAUAGUCGUCACUAACGCAUGACGCCUGUUCAAAGCAUCAGCGACUCGAUUAAGAUUCCCUGCUUGAUGUCGAAUAGUAAAUGUGAAUUGCUGUAGAAAGGCAAUCCAAGUAGCAUGACGAGAGGACACCUUUGCUUGACUAUCCAAGUGUUUAAGCGCAUCAUGGUCCGUAAAUAGAAUGAACUCACGGUGAAACAAGUAAUGACGCCAAUGCUUUAUUGCCUGCACCACGGCAUAGAAUUCAAUAUCAUAAGUACUAUAGCGAAUCCGUGCACCCGAAAGUUUCUCACUAUAGUAAGCAAUGGGACGACCCAAUUGACUUAACACAGCACCAAUCCCAAGUUUAGAAGCAUCACUGUGAAGUUCAAAGGCUUGCGUAAAAUCUGGUAAAACAAGAAUUGGAGCAGUAGUAAGUUUUUCCUUUAUCGUCGCAAACGCAGAUGAAGCUUCUUUGGUCCAAGCGAAUUUGCCAGCUUUCAUACAAUCAGUGAUGGGUGCCAUGACAAUACUGAAAUGAGGAACGAAGCGCCGGUAGAAUGAAGCAAGACCGUGGAAGCUGCAAACCUCCGUUAAGGAGCGUGGUUCUGGCCAAGUACGCACGGCUUCGACCUUACUGCUAUCUACGGAAAGGCCAUCUCUAGAGACAACAUAUCCCAAAAAAAGAACAUGAUCAGCUCCAAAUUCGCACUUCUGUUUGGCGACAUAAAACUGAUCGCGACGUAAAACCUCCAAAAUACUACGUAGGUGCCGUAGGUGUUCUUCAAGAGACGAACUGAAUAUCAAAAUAUCGUCAAAGUAAACGACGACAAACUUUCUGAUGAAUGGUCGUAAAGCUUGGUUCAUCACACGCAUGAAAGGAAAAAACACAACUUGAAAGACACGUAAACACCAAAGCCAAAAGACGUAAGAAACUUCUAAACAGAUAAGGAUGCUCUGCAUCACUCUUUGAUUAAACAAACCCAGGAGAAAUUAGAAUCAAAAUCAACAAAUAAAAACAAAAUCAGAAGAAAGUUCUCGCUUACCCUAGAAAUUGUCUAGGAAAUCCUGAACCUUCGAUGCCGUCAGGGAGAGGAAACAAAGAAUUCAUCGCCUUCAAGAGCCCGGAGGAGACGAGCAUGUCGACAGAGAUAUGGUCGGAGCAAACGAAGAGUCGUCGUCCAAGGAGAAGCGAAAUGGUUCGGGGAAGAAAGAAAGAAUAAAAAAAU
rnacentral:lncRNA from 1 species